rnacentral:rRNA from 1 species
UACAGAGGUCUCAAGCGUUGUUCGGAUUCAUUGGGCGUAAAGAGCUCGUAGGCGGUCUGUCGCGUCGAUCGUGAAAACUUGGGGCUUAACCCUGAGCUUGCGGUCGAUACGGGCAUGACUGGAGUUCGGCAGGGGAGACUGGAAUCCUGGUGUAGCGGUGAAAUGCGCAGAUAUCAGGAGGAACACCGGUGGCGAAGGCGGGUCUCUGGGCCGAUGACUGACGCUGAGGAGCGAAAGCGUGGGGAGCGAACAGGA